rnacentral:rRNA from 1 species
AUACGUAGGUGACAAGCGUUAUCCGGAUUUACUGGGCGUAAAGGGCAUGUAGGCGGUCUUGCAAGUCAGAAGUGAAAUUCCUGAGCUCAACUCGGGCGCUGCUUCUGAAACUGCAGGACUUGAGUGCUGGAGAGGUAAGUGGAAUUCCCAGUGUAGCGGUGAAAUGCGUAGAGAUUGGGAGGAACACCAGUGGCGAAGGCGACUUACUGGACUGUAACUGACGCUGAGGCGCGAAAGUGUGGGGAGCAAACAGGAUUGGAUACCCUGGUAGUCCACACUGUAAACGAUGAAUGCUAGGUGUAGGGGGUAUCGACCCCUUCUGUGCCGCAGUCAACACAAUAAGCAUUCCGCCUGGGGAGUACGGCCGCAAGGUUGAAACUCAAAGGAAUUGACGGGG